UUCUCAUUGCCUCAGAGUACAGCAUGACUAAUGAGAAAGCUAUCUACUUUCAGGCUAACUCAGCGUCAAGAAGGCUACCUCUUCUGCGUCACAAGAACUGGAGAGAAUAUGUGAAAUAUUGGACCCCCAUCCCUGGGAGAAGACACUGGGGGCGGGGUGUGCGGGAGGGACAGGUUCAUUCUCAGCACGACAGCCAAAGUGUCUUCCUCCAAUUCAUCACACCUCCUACCACCAAGAAGACUAUUACUGCCCAAAUACCCAGCGCCAAAUCCUGAAAGCUAGACACGUAUCCACGCGCCUUUGCAAACCCCUAGUCUUCCUAUUCUUCCGAGCGCCAGUCCGGCUCAGUUUUUGGAGACCUAAUACUUUUACUUUGAUUCUGUUUUUAUGUCCCUACUUUUUUCCCGUUUUAUUCAAAUGCAGCUGUCCAGGGUGGCCUUUCCUGGCAACUUUAAAAAUUAUAGCUCAGGAUGGAGCUCUUUUGGCGGAGGGCUCAACCAGCAUGGGUUUGAUCCCAGCACCACACAAACCAGGCGUGGGGACACAUGCCGCCAUGACAGCACUUUGGAUCGAGCAGCAGGAUCAAAUGUUCCAGGUCAUGCUCGGCUUUAAAUCAAGUUCAAGGUCAGACUGGGAUACAAGAAACACUGCCUCAAAAUAAGUAAAUAAAUAAACGACAACUCCUAA